rnacentral:lncRNA from 1 species
AGGAAGAAAACAAUCAAAAUGGAACUGUGGCUUCCUGACAGUCUGAUAAGAUGUGAGGAGGUUAGGGAGGGGAGCAGCUACUCCCUGGAAGGACACCUGAAAUCUCCUUUAUUGUGCAUCUUUCCUGUGACAAGUGCCACCUUCAUAGAAGAGAGGACCCCAAAGAGAGACCACAGUGACAUCAUGCAGAGCCCCAGGCAUCAAGGACUUGCAGCAGCUGACAGCUAUUGUGAUAAGAUGAAAACAGAAAGUUGGCACCCAUUAGAGAACAUGGGAUUAAAACCAGGAUACUGCAGAGAUCUGUUGCUGAAGGCCAUCUAAA